rnacentral:lncRNA from 1 species
CUCUGGGUUCCAGGGUGCUCACUGGGUGGUUCCCCCAGUGCCCCGCUCCUACAGUGACUGCAGCCAGCAGCACCCAGGAGACGGAACCUCCCCGCCCAGCCCGGCGCCCGCCAGCCCUGGUGCCGUUUUUAUAGCAGCAUGCCUCUAGCAAUCAAGACACCUGGCACCUCGGAGGGCCGACUUCCAGAAGGAUUUGCCACAGGGCACCACAACAACUUCUCUGCCAUUCAGAGUCACAGCUGCACAGACUGAUACAAGUAUGGACCCCCUAGAAGGAACAACAAAUGGAGCUGCCGUCUAUAUACACACGUCGAUUUAGGUCUCUGUCUCUGGCAACUGAAAAGAGACCCAACAAAACAUCUUACAGAGCACCAGGGCCAAUUCUUGAUGCGUCGUUAGAUUCUGUGUAGCCAGAAAGCAGAAACAGAAACAUAUCCAAGCCAGGCGGAGGAAAAACUUUGAGGCCUGUUUAUCCAGGUUCAAGACAAUUUCUAUUUAAAAAAAAAAAAAAGAAAAAAAGAGAGAAAAAAAAAGCUCAUAACAGAAUAAGUUCAGCUUCUCCUGAGUGUCAGAGCUAAGAUCUAACGCCUCUGCUGGUUUCCAUGACAACCACCAGCAGCUACAAUCAUGCCGAACCAAGAACCAGAGGAUUCAGUAACUUUACCUUGAUUCUGUGGCCAGAUUAUUGCCAAUUUUAAAAGGAAAUGCAUAGUGAGCCCCUGUCUCUGUUGUGUCUUCAGUUGUCCCUUGAAAUCUGGAUAUCUUGACAAGAGGCCAGGGCCUAUCCUAUCUCAUCUCCCCAAGCUAGUGUCCUUCCCAGAUGAAUUUCUUCUGGCGCUGGUGAGAUUACUUGGUGACCUAGUUCCGACUACACAAGUUAUGCUGUCGUGAUUGCUGGGGGUAAUUGCUCAAAAUAGCUCUCUGAUUUGUUUCAUAAACAGGCUCUGUGGCAGGCUCAUGUCGUUUUUUCCCCAAAGAAGAGAUUCCAGAGACGAGGCCUUCACUGAGAGCUUGCUCCUCUACCUCCUGUGGGUUUCAGGGCUGGGACGGGGGACACAGAGAAUCUGUCUCUCGCGAAUGCCAAGUUGAGGUCCUAGCCUGGCUAGGAACUCUUGCAUUCCCCUUGCCUCGCUGUAGCCUCCCCUGGGAACAGACCUUCCAGGAGGGUCGCACCGAGUGAUGAGACUGUUGCAUGAGGCUCUGCAGUGCUUGGACACAGAACUGCACUGCGGCCUUCCAGAUGCUCAGCUGGAAAACCCCUGAGAACCUGAGGCUUUUCUACAGCACAUUAGAGCUUAUGACUGGAGAGUGUCUACCGCCUGAGGGCAGGGAUGAGAUUUUACCUAUCCUAUUCACCUGCUUAGGUGCCCA